rnacentral:rRNA from 1 species
GUAGGUGGCAAGCGUUGUCCGGGAUUAUUGGGCGUAAAGCGCGCGCAGGCGGUUCUUUAAGUCUGAUGUGAAAGCCCACGGCUCAACCGUGGAGGGUCAUUGGAAACUGGAGAACUUGAGUACAGAAGAGGAAAGCGGAAUUCCACGUGUAGCGGUGAAAUGCGUAGAGAUGUGGAGGAACACCAGUGGCGAAGGCGGCUUUCUGGUCUGUAACUGACGCUGAGGCGCGAAAGCGUGGGGAGCAAACAGGAUUAGAUACCCUGGUAGUCCACGCCGUAAACGAUGAGUGCUAAGUGUUAGGGGGUUUCCGCCCCCCUUAGUGCUGCAGCUAACGCAUUAAGCACUCCGCCUGGGAUACGGCCGCAAGGCUG